CCAAUAACACGAUGUUAUACUGGCGUAAGAAAAUUAUUAACCAAUCAGAUGCAGCCAUAUUGACACCCGUUUCACCGAUUACUCAUGUUGACAUCUUUCGCGGCUGCCGCGACAGCUCCAACCCAUUGAAACGGAGACGUGUUGAGCAGUGAACAAGCUCAAGGAUUGCCUCUGGAGCUGGUGGAAGUGACAUCCAGUCCACCUCAUAGAGCUCCUCAGCCAUCUUCCAGCCAUGAUUGAUUGGAGGAGGAAUGUCUGGUUAACACUCCAGGCUCCUCCUGUGCACUGCAGCCUGGGUGCUUGCCCGCUGAAUAUGUUUGUGCAGAGAGUCCUGGUUUGGAGGCAAGUCUCGCUCAGAACAUCUGCCCGACUUUAACUUUAACAAUGUUUAACAAUUAUCUCACCCCUUGGCAUUACCCUGGUAUUGCAGUGCUGCCAGGGAGGGCUGGCUCCCCCCCUUUCUUUAUCCAUUAUGUUCCUUUAAUCUCUUUGUGGACUAACCGACCUUAGCCUUGUGGCUCUGGUCCCAGUGCUCAGGAGAUCCACAUUUUCCCCUUACCUUUCCUUUUCCCCCUUGAUGAUUAAAUAU